UUAUGGCUCAGAUUGAACGCUGGCGGCAGGCCUAACACAUGCAAGUCGAACGGUAACAGGAAGCAGCUUGCUGCUUGCUGACGAGUGGCGGACGGGUGAGUAAUGUCUGGGAAACUGCCCGAUGGAGGGGGAUAACUACUGGAAACGGUAGCUAAUACCGCAUAAUGUCGCAAGACCAAAGAGGGGGACCUUCGGGCCUCUUGCCAUCGGAUGUGCCCAGAUGGGAUUAGCUAGUUGGUGAGGUAACGGCUCACCAAGGCGACGAUCCCUAGCUGGUCUGAGAGGAUGACCAGCCACACUGGAACUGAGACACGGUCCAAGACUCCUACGGGAGGCAGCAGUGGGGAAUAUUGCACAAUGGGCGCAAGCCUGAUGCAGCCAAUGCCGCGUGUAUGAAGAAGGCCUUCGGGUUGUAAAGUACUUUCAGCGGGGAGGAAGGGGUUAAGGUUAAUAACCUUAGCCACUGACGUUACCCGCAGAAGAAGCACCGGCUAACUCCGUGCCAGCCGCCGC
rnacentral:rRNA from 1 species